UACAGAGGGUGCGAGCGUUGUCCGGAAUCACUGGGCGUAAAGGGCGCGUAGGCGGCUCGGUCAGCGUGCGGUGAAAGCCCGGGGCUCAACCCCGGGUCGGCCGUGCGAACUGCUGGGCUGGAGCACUGUAGAGGCAGGUGGAAUUCCGGGUGUAGCGGUGGAAUGCGUAGAGAUCCGGAAGAACACCGGUGGCGAAGGCGGCCUGCUGGGCAGUAGCUGACGCUGAUGCGCGACGAGCGUGGGGAGCAAACAGG
rnacentral:rRNA from 1 species